rnacentral:rRNA from 1 species
UGCGUAGGCGGAAAAUUAAGUCAGUGGUGAAAUCCUGCGGCUCAACCGUAGAACUGUCAUUGAUACUGAUUUUCUUGAAUACAGUUGAGGUAGGCGGAAUAUGUAAUGUAGCGGUGAAAUGCUUAGAUAUUACAUAGAACACCGAUUGCGAAGGCAGCUUACUAAGCUAUGAUUGACGCUGAGGAACGAAAGCGUGGGGAGCGAACAGGAUUAGAUACCCUGGUAGUCC